GUGGACGGCCAUAGUGAUCUGGAACCACCCGAUCCCAUUCCGAACUCGGCAGUGAAACAGAUCAACGUUUUAGAUUGUACUGCUCUUUGAGCGGGAACUCUGGAAUGCUGUUCAUC
rnacentral:rRNA from 1 species